rnacentral:lncRNA from 1 species
CCCCGGACGGGGAUUUGGAGCCCAAAAAGCCAGACAUGUCCAGGAAAAUCCGGAUGUAUGGUAACCCUAGAUAAUUAGUAGGGCUCAACCACCCCUUAGUGGAAAAGCCCUAGAGAAUGGAAUAGAAAAUUAUCACCUUCCUUUUUAAUCCAUCCUAUAAAACGUAAUUGAGGAUUAAUUCCCUGCCGUGGGAUGGCCUGCAAACCCAACUGUAAGUAGAAGUUACCCCCUUUCCCUGGUUUACUAGAUGCUAGUGGACGGUAACGUCACGCUCUGGCUAGAUGGUCUUUCUCCAUUUACCACUGAGUCGGUUUUGAUACAGCCCUAGGCAGUUCUUUGGUUCCACACAGUACUUGUCUCUAAGCCCAAAAUGCCAGUUGGAGCGUCAGCUGCAUGGUGGCCUGGACGGGGCCCACCCACCUUCUGUACCUAGGCCUGAGCUGAGCCACUGAGGUUUGGUCUCUACAGUGCAUGGAACUGUCUGCAAGAAAUAACAAACGGAAGCUGGACUCACUCAGCCCAGCCUACGGCAAGCCAGAAGCAGAUGGUGUCUCCCGCUGGGAAGCUCUCCAGAGCCAGGGCGUGAAGAGGAGAGCACUGCACGCCUGUCAGAGGCGUUGGCCAGCUCCAAAGUGCAGAGAAGGUGGUUUAUGGUCCAGGCAGUGAACUAAGAGUCAGUGGGGGAAGAAACAUUGUGUGACCACAGCAGACCCAAUAGCAGAAGGAAAUUUCUUAUGGCGGGUGAGUGUUUUCUGCACCCACAUGGAGACUUCACUUUUGCGAUGGGAUCCUGGUGAAAGCCAGGCGGUCACUGCCAUGACCCUGCUGUCUUACCCCUCCACACAGUGUUUGGUGGCUACUCGGGUUUUCUGAAAACAAUAAUAAUAAUGCUGCCAAUUCCCAUGAUUUUGUCAUGAGUCCCGUGCUUGUUUUCCUUAAAGCCCCAGCUCCUGGAGUCAAGGGGGUAUGUGAUGAUUUCAGCCUUCAUUCUUAAAAGAAAAAUGAAGUUUCCAGCCCUCCUGGCUGUGCAGAAAGCUUCAAAAUGUAACCCUGGUGCACCCUAAAGGCUCAAAGGCAGCAGCAAAUCUAUUCUUUGUACAUAAUCUCACGAUUUCUGGUGAGCCUGACUCAUGAUUUUUGAGCAUUUGGGGCUGGCAAUACCGCAAGUAGACCCUAGGUCUCGAGACCAUUGUUUGCACAGAACAACUGCUAAGAGGAAGAGCAUCCUCCCUUAAAGAGAGGGAGAAAAAGCCGAGAGGUGGGUUAACCUCAUUCAAAGGAAAAAGGCUCUUUACCAAAGCAAGUCAUCUUUGAUGCUGUUGUAUUUGCCCUUCUCCACUGAGGACAGCUGCUUGGACA